CAAGCUAUCACUUUCCCUCCCCAAAUGCUAUUAAAACUAAAACCUUUAUUUUUAUAUAUAUUUUUUAAAACAUAAAAAAACCUUUAGAAAACCCAAUGCCUUUCCCUUCUAACCCUUUCUGCUAGGGUUUCAUCCUAAAACAUGCAGCCAUCGAACCACCAUCAUACGGUGGCCGACGGUGCACAGGCAAGGGCCGAUUUCGCCAAUGGAAGAGAACUCUGACUGUGCCCACGGAGGUUUGGUAUGCUGAACGUGGUUCGAAGCGCACGGAUGUGGAGCGAGCAAUGCACGAGUCGGGGGUCGUGCGUGGUGGCUGCUGGUGGCUACGGCGCGAGGCAAAUGGGAACCUUAGGGUUUCCAAAAAUUCCAAAAAAUCUGAGCUUAUCGAGCUUGUUUAAUUUGGGUCUAUUUUUUGAGUUAGUUUCAUUUUUUUUGAGUUUGUUUUUUUUAGUGAUUUGGGCCGUUUCGUACAAUUGAGUAUUUGGGCCGGGCAAAAUUUGAAUUUUACUAAUAUAAUCAUUUUUUUUUUCA